CCUACGGGGGGCUGCAGUGGGGAAUAUUGGACAAUGGGCGCAAGCCUGAUCCAGCAAUGCCGCGUGUGUGAAGAAGGCCUGCGGGUUGUAAAGCACUUUAAGCCGGAAAGAAGGCUGCAAGGCUAAUAUCCUUGUAGAUUGACGUUACCGGCAGAAUAAGCACCGGCUCACUCCGUGCCAGCAGCCGCGGUAAUACGGAGGGUGCGUACGUUAAGCGGAGCGACUGGGCGUGGAGCGUGCGGACGGGGGUGAAAGCCCUGGGCUUAACCUGGGAACUGCAGUGGAAACUGGCGGGCUAGAGUAUGGUAGAGGAGGGUGGAAUUUCCGGUGUAGCAGUGAAAUGCGUAGAGAUCGGAAGGAACACCAGUGGCGAAGGCGGCUCUCUGGACCAAUACUGACGCUGAGGUGCGAAAGCGUGGGGAGCAAACAGGAUUAGAUACCCCGGUAGUC
rnacentral:rRNA from 1 species